UACGUAGGCAGCAAGCGUUGUUCGGAAUUACUGGGCGUAAAGAGUGUGUAGGCGGUGUUCUAAGUUUGUCGUGAAAUCUCCCGGCUUAACUGGGAGGGUGCGGCGAAAACUGGAAUGCUAGAGGAUGGGAGAGGUAAGCGGAAUUCCUGGUGUAGCGGUGAAAUGCGUAGAUAUCAGGAGGAACACCUGUGGUGUAGACAGCUUACUGGACCAUUUCUGACGCUGAGACACGAAAGCGUGGGGAGCGAACGGG
rnacentral:rRNA from 1 species